rnacentral:rRNA from 1 species
GACGAACGCUGGCGGCGCGCCUAACACAUGCAAGUCGAACGGAGCUUAGAGAGCUUGCUUUUUAAGCUUAGUGGCGAACGGGUGAGUAACGCGUGAGUAACCUGCCCUAGAGUGGGGGACAACAGUUGGAAACGACUGCUAAUACCGCAUAAGCCCACGGUGCCGCAUGGCACUGAGGGAAAAGGAUUUAUUCGCUUUAGGAUGGACUCGCGUCCAAUUAGCUAGUUGGUGAGGUAACGGCCCACCAAGGCGACGAUUGGUAGCCGGACUGAGAGGUUGAACGGCCACAUUGGGACUGAGACACGGCCCAGACUCCUACGGGAGGCAGCAGUGGGGGAUAUUGCACAAUGGGGGAAACCCUGAUGCAGCGACGCCGCGUGGAGGAAGAAGGUUUUCGGAUUGUAAACUCCUGUCGUUAGGGACGAUAAUGACGGUACCUAACAAGAAAGCACCGGCUAACUACGUGCCAGCAGCCGCGGUAAAACGUAGGGUGCAAGCGUUGUCCGGAAUUACUGGGUGUAAAGGGAGCGCAGGUGGGAAGACAAGUUGGAAGUGAAAACCAUGGGCUCAACCCAUGAAUUGCUUUCAAAACUGUUUUUCUUGAGUAGUGCAGAGGUAGAUGGAAUUCCCGGUGUAGCGGUGGAAUGCGUAGAUAUCGGGAGGAACACCAGUGGCGAAGGCGGUCUACUGGGCACCAACUGACGCUGAGGCUCGAAAGCAUGGGUAGCAAACAGGAUUAGAUACCCUGGUAGUCCAUGCCGUAAACGAUGAUUACUAGGUGUUGGGGGAUUGACCCCCUCAGUGCCGCAGUUAACACAAUAAGUAAUCCACCUGGGGAGUACGACCGCAAGGUUGAAACUCAAAGG